rnacentral:rRNA from 1 species
CAUGCUAGACGAGUUGAUCAUGGCUCAGAGCGAACGCUAGCGGCGGGCUUAACACAUGCAAGUCGAGCGGAGAGCUUCGGCUCUCAGCGGCGAACGGGUGAGUAACACGUAGGUCACGUACCCUUUGAUGGGGAAUAACCUAGGGGAACCUGGGCUAAUACCGCAUAUGUCCUUCGGGAUGAAAGCCUUCGGGCGUCAGAGGAUCGGCCUGCGGCCCAUUAUUUAAUCCUAGUUGGUAGGGUAAUGGCCUACCAAGGGUACGAUGGGUAGCUGGUCUGAGAGGAUGAUCAGCCACACUGGAACUGAGACACGGUUCAGACUCCUACGGGAGGCAGCAGUGGGGAAUAUUGGACAAUGGGCGAAAGCCUGAUCCAGCCACGCCGCGUGGGUGAUGAAGGCCUUCGGGUUGUAAAGCCCUGUCGGGAGGGACGAAUCAAUGACGGUACCUCCCAAGAAAGCACCGGCUAACUCCGUG